rnacentral:rRNA from 1 species
UACGUAGGUGGCAAGCGUUGUCCGGAUUUACUGGGCGUAAAGAGCGCGCAGGCGGUCGUUCAAGUCGCGUGUGAAAGCCCCCGGCUCAACUGGGGAGGGUCACGCGAUACUGAUCGACUCGAAGGCAGGAGAGGGUAGUGGAAUUCCCGGUGUAGUGGUGAAAUGCGUAGAUAUCGGGAGGAACACCAGUGGCGAAGGCGAACUACCUGGCUUGUUCUUGACGCUGAGGCGCGAAAGCUAGGGGAGCAAACGGGG